CACGCCGUCACGUGGGAGGCGAUGGCGUUGAUGCCGCCGGGCGUGACGUCGAGCUUUCCGACGGUCGCGACGACGCGGCGCGC
rnacentral:tRNA from 1 species